UACUCCUACGGGAGGCAGCAGUGAGGAAUAUUGGUCAAUGGACGGAAGUCUGAACCAGCCAUGCCGCGUGCAGGAUGACGGCUCUAUGAGUUGUAAACUGCUUUUAUGCUAGGGUAAACUCGGGUACGUGUACCCGACUGAAAGUAUAGCAAGAAUAAGGAUCGGCUAACUCCGUGCCAGCAGCCGCGGUAAU
rnacentral:rRNA from 1 species